GGCCGCCGUAGUCGAGUGGUAACGCUCCCGACUUUGAAUCGUCAGAUUGUGGGUUCGAUCCCCGCCUUGGUCU